ACUGAACGCUGGCGGCAGGCUUAACACAUGCAAGUCGAGCGGGGAAAGGUAGCUUGCUACCUGACCUAGCGGCGGACGGGUGCGUAAUGCUUAGGAAUCUGCCUAUUAGUGGGGGACAACAUUCCGAAAGGAAUGCUAAUACCGCAUACGCCCUACGGGGGAAAGCAGGGGAUCUUCGGGCCUUGCGCUAAUAGAUGAGCCUGAGUCAGAUUAGCGAGUUGGGGGGGUAAAGGCCUACCAAGGCGACGAUCUGUAGCGGGUCUGAGAGGAUGAUCCGCCACACUGGGACUGAGACACGGCCCAGACUCCUACGGGAGGCAGCAGUGGGGAAUAUUGGACAAUGGGCGAAAGCCUGAUCCAGCCAUGCCGCGUGUGUGAAGAAGGCCUUUUGGUUGUAAAGCACUUUAAGCGAGGAGGAGGCUACCGAGAUUAAUACUCUUGGAUAGUGGACGUUACUCGCAGAAUAAGCACCGGCUAACUCUGUGCCAGCAGCCGCGGUAAGAC
rnacentral:rRNA from 1 species